GUGCUGCAGGCUGCAACUUUCACACUCUGAGACUAAAUCCCUUUCGCAUCGUCCAGGUCCUGGGGAGAGACAUUUAUUUAAAAGUAGCUGAAAUGAAGCACAGAAACAAACUCAGCACACAGUUUUGUUUACAGCAGAGGCUUGUGGUGUCCCAUGUGCCCUGGGCCGUUAUAAGGACCCAGACAGAACCACCAACGAAUACAACAAGAAGGAAAAAGAAUAUUCAUGAAGUGUAAGAUCCUUCACACAACUGAAGUGCCUGUGGGGUUUUGGAGUGUUUGCUUACUUUCUGUUGUUAUUUAUAAAAUGUCUAAAUAUCUGUCAAGCCCACCUGAGAAAGAGUAAGACCCUUCUAUAUAUAACUGUGUUGUCAGUGCUUUACAAAUCCAGUAGCUAAAUCUCUGUGGGUUGGCAGCUGCUGGUGUUCCCUGUACCAACCCUAUUCCUGUUGGGCUGCAAGGGAGUCCUCAGGGAACAACAUCAGCAGUGGGACCCCAACCUGUCAGCCCUUCUGUUGCUGGCACCCAUCACUCGUGCAGCCUGGCUCCUCUACAAGCUGGCAGCAUUCUGAUUUUGGGAACUGAUCUGCUGGAUUUUAGCCACUUACUGUCUGAAGGGCCUUAUCCAAACUGCAUCUCUUCAGCUGGAGACAAGACUGGGUUGCUGGGCUAAGCUAUACACUCUCUAAGGGUUGGGUAGACAGUCUAACAAUAUCAGAAAUAAUUUUCACAGCUUCAGAUGAUUUUCAGAGCUUCAUUUCUUCAGUUACUCUGAAAAUCCUGGUCUUGCAACCCCAUGUGGGAACACUUUCAGGGAGCCAGGUUGUUUCCUCAAUGGAGAUGGUGACUGUCACACAGAGAACUGAGAAACAGAGUAAACCAAUAACAAGUAGUCCCAAACACCAGAGAAAAGCAUUUUAAUAUAUCACUCCCUGAGAAGUAGGAGAGAUGAGAUUCAGCUGGUCUGCUUUUUAGAGAGAAAAUCCCAAACCUUCUCUAAAGUAUGCGUUGAACUUUUGAAAGUCUUCCACUUCCCCCUCCUCCUUGCCCAUCUCUACAAUAAGUACAAUUUUUAGACAAGGCAGGUCUUUGUGCUCCAAAUUUAAUACGUAGUUUUUGACCCAUAGAGUGAUAAGCUGGAAAAUAAUUGGCUGGAUUUUCCCCAGUGUUGAAGAACGCCUUUCAGAUUGACUUGGGAACUUGCCUAUUCUCGUCUGCCCACCUGGCUUUCACUUUGAUAUCCCUCACAUUAUCAUAACUUUUAUUGUGUUUUCAUGUCAGUCAAACCUUCUUCACUAAAUUACUUUCAUUUGUACAUCCUCUCCUGCUAUUUGGUCUCAUCAUCAUCUAAGAUUUAAGGUGAAAAAGUUUCUUCUAUUUGACAGGGUGGGAGGUAGAAAUUACUAUGUGAGCAGUAAACUACAGGUUACGUAAAUAAUAUGUCAUUGUAUAUCACCCAGUGGAGCCUUAAAUCAAUUAAUUAGUUUGUAUAAAGCUUUUGCCUGCUUUUUAACUGCACCAUAUCCAAGUUGAUUGCACAUUUGCUCCAAGUUCGUUGUUUUGUUUUCUUUCUUUGUGUCAUCAACUUUCAGGAUUCUUAUAUAGUUACU